GUGAGGUGGAAACGGAUAGAGUCGGCGUAUCUUGCAAGUAUUCAUUUACAUUUUUAUCGUAUUGUAAUCUCUGAGCUCCAGAUUGGGACAGUUUUUACUUUAUUAUAAAAUUGAGAUGCAUUUGCUUGUUUGGUGCGUAGGGAUGUUUGAGAUAGAUUUGUGACCGCCGUUUUGAGGCCAGCUUGCUGGUACCCAAACUGUGUUAGCAUUUUUUAUCUUGGAUAUUUGAGUAUGGCUUACGGGCGUUUAUAGGUUCGAUCUGAGUGUAAGUUACGGUCGCAUGCGACACGUGCUUUUCAAUUAGUUCGGUCCAGUUAAUGCUCUCAUACUCUUUCCCUAUGUAAAAGCCGGUCAUCUAUCCGACCCGUCUUGAAACACGGACCAAGGAGUUUAUCGUGUGCGCAAGUUUUUGGGUGUUUAAAACCUAAAAGCGCAAUGAAAGUAAAUGUUCUCUUUCGAGACUGAUGUGCGAUAUUUUUUUUUCGAAAAAAUUGCAGCAUGGCCCCAUUCUAUCUGUUUACAGAAGGGUGGCGGAAGAGCGUACGCGGUGAGACCCGAAAGAUGGUGAACUAUUCCUGAGCAGGAUGAAGCCAGAGGAAACUCUGGUGGAAGUCCGAAGCGGUUCUGACGUGCAAAUCGAUCGUCUGACUUGGGUAUAGGGGCGAAAGACUAAUCGAACCAUC
rnacentral:rRNA from 1 species